GAGUUCCAUCUCUGUAAUGGGCCUUGGACCAGUCUCGUUUCUGUACUUCUUUCUCAAGAAUGAAAUCCUCGUUGGAAAACCACGCUCACUUUCGCGCUUCUCUCUCAAAAUUUAGCUGCCAGAGGAACACACUGCGUAUAUAUAAAAGAAAGCGAUUGCUUAGAGAGAGUGAUGGUGAUCAUGGACGAUCCUCUUGAUUUCGAAUCUGAAGACCCACUUCUUAGUUCCCCUGUUAUUAAUCAGAAAAGCAGGAAGAAAGUUAUUGGCUUGGAUGAUCUUUUGACUGAUUACUAUAAGGAGAAAAGCAAAGUGAUUGAGAGGGAGUCUAAACGAGCAAAGGCUAAGAAGAAUUACAAUUCUGAUGAAGAUGACAAUGGCAAAGAAGCUUUACUAUCAAGAAAAAUUAAUGAGUGCCACAAUCAGAUGAGAGAAAUGAGUGGUGAGGAAGAGAUCUCCACAUGGGGUGUACAGGUUUUUGGAAAUCAGAAACCCCCACCGCCUCUUGUUUUUCCUGAGCUUGGAAGUUGCUCCUUAUUGCAGUCUUUUAUGAGCAAUAAACACCACACUUUGAUCGAACUGAGUACAGAAAAUGGGGACAAUUUUCUAGAAGGAUUAUUGGUAAAUGGCUGGCUCUCAAAAUUGGUUUCUGCACAUUGUCAUGUAGAAAAAUUGAUAGCCAAAUGGACUUUUAAUUUGAUGUUAUAUUCAUCAAAAGAAGAGUUGAGGACAUCUGCAUGUGACUUCUGGUGGAUCAUUCUUUCUCCUGAUAAUAAGGCGGAGAAGCUGCCUGUUAGAAUUGAGUGGUUUCCUAGCUACUCUGAUUUUCAAAGAGCUCUUGAAAUAUAUGGAUUUCUAUUUGAUUUUUCAUCACAUCCAAAAUUGUUAAAUAUGGAUUCUAGUGGAAGAGGACCACCUAACAAUAUUAGAGGCUGGAUUAAAUUCACUUCUGCUUGUUGUCUUGUGAGGAGCAAACAAUCUAUCUUUUCAACUUCAGAAGCUGAAGAAUUGGUUAAAUUCCUUAUUUGUCUGUCUUUAGAUCGCCAGCUUCAAGGUUUGCAGGUGCUUUUGAAUAAAUGCAUGCAAUCAGCUAUCAGUUACUUCACAGAUGAGGAAUGGAGUACCAGCUGUGAAAAAAUAGCAAGAACUCUUGCUUGCAGAAUCCCCAUGGAUUUGAACUGCUUGCGAUCUGUGGAGUGCAUUUCAGGAGUAGGUACUCGUAGUAAUCACCUCAGAAGUGCGGUUUCUUAUCAGAUUCUGCUUGUUUGUUUUAAUAGUGAGGCCACUGAUGAAGUAGAGAUCCUGAACUUGCUCAUCUCAAUUAAUGUGAAAGACAAAAAUUGUGAUUUUUUCAAGAUGUAUAUUUACCUGGUUUUGACGGAGAAUUGGCUCUUGUCCAAUCCGAUGUUGGAACAUAAGCCAGUCAUCUAUGAAAUGUGGGGUGUUUAUCUGCGAAACUGUUCUUGCCAAAUCAAUGGCACAGAUUUGAGGCCUUAUGCAUCAAAGGUUCGUACCAAAGCUUCAUAUCUUCUACAUGGUACCUCCAAGAAAUAAUCAUUGCAAACCUUGUAGGGGAAAUAAAAUGGCUUCUAACUGGUAACAAUCAACUCCUGUAUCCACCGGUUUGUCUAGCUCCUGGAAAAGUUGUCAAGUUCGCGUCACCCAUUAUAUGGCAACUCAGUGUAAAUGAAUUUGAGGCCACAAAACAAGAGAUGAUGGAGGUAAGGUUGCAGAAAGCAACCUUCUUUUGAGUUGUAUAGGUGUAAGAGCAACUAUUUUAGCACUAAACUGGGGCGCUGGUACAAGUAAGGCAACCUCACUUCUCUGGACCCUCAAGUUACUCUUUUUUGGUUGUGAUAUGGCAUGGAGGGCUGAUGGCAAAUGUGCUGUUUAGACUUUGGUAUUCAUUCUUUAUCUCAAGAUAAUUUUUAUUUCAAA